AUUCCAUGGUGUGGACACUUCCUUAACAACUCCUUAAAGCGCUCCCAAGAAUCAUACAGUGACUCUCCAUCCAACCGAUAAAAAUUAUUAAUCUCACCCCUUAACUU